AGAGUUUGAUCCUGGCUCAGGACGAACGCUGGCGGCGUGCUUAACACAUGCAAGUCGAGCGGUAAGGCCCUUCGGGGUACACGAGCGGCGAACGGGUGAGUAACACGUGAGCAAUCUGCCCAUCACAUCGGGAUAACUCCGGGAAACCGGUGCUAAUACCGAAUAUGACCACUUCAGGCAUCUGACGGUGGUGGAAAGUUCCGGCGGUGAUGGAUGAGCUCGCGGCCUAUCAGCUUGUUGGUGGGGUAAUGGCCCACCAAGGCUUCGACGGGUAGCCGGCCUGAGAGGGUGACCGGCCACACUGGGACUGAGACACGGCCCAGACUCCUACGGGAGGCAGCAGUGGGGAAUAUUGGACAAUGGGCGAAAGCCUGAUCCAGCAACGCCGCGUGAGGGAUGACGGCCUUCGGGUUGUAAACCUCUUUCAGCAGGGACGAAGCGAAAGUGACGGUACCUGCAGAAGAAGCACCGGCCAACUACGUGCCAGCAGCCGCGGUAAUACGUAGGGUGCGAGCGUUGUCCGGAAUUAUUGGGCGUAAAGGGCUCGUAGGCGGUUUGUCGCGUCGGGAGUGAAAACUCAGGGCUUAACCCUGAGCCUGCUUCCGAUACGGGCAGACUAGAGGUAUGCAGGGGAGAACGGAAUUCCUGGUGUAGCGGUGAAAUGCGCAGAUAUCAGGAGGAACACCGGUGGCGAAGGCGGUUCUCUGGGCAUUACCUGACGCUGAGGAGCGAAAGUGUGGGGAGCGAACAGGAUUAGAUACCCUGGUAGUCCACACCGUAAACGUUGGGCGCUAGGUGUGGGACUCAUUCCACGAGUUCCGUGCCGCAGCUAACGCAUUAAGCGCCCCGCCUGGGGAGUACGGCCGCAAGGCUAAAACUCAAAUGAAUUGACGG
rnacentral:rRNA from 1 species